CCUAUGCAUAGAUUUUGAAAUAUUUUUUUAUGAUAAUUUGAUCUAUGUAGAUAUCGAAAAUCAUUGCUAGAUGGUAUCUCGAUUAAUGCAGGACUCGAUUCCUGUGUUACCAGCUCAGUGUUUGAACCUAUGGAGUCACGCACACAAGUUAGACAUCGUAGGAAAGUAUUGGCCUAUAUUUAUAUGUUCGAUUUGAAAGUACUUAACUUGGUUUAAUAUAUAAGUUAACUUGAUUGAGAAUUAAGUUAUGAAUCAAACGAGAUUGAAGAGUUGACUAUGUCUGGCUAGCACUAUACAUGAGGUUCAGGUUCAAUCUCGGUGUCUGACUUAUGUGCUAACUAUGAUUCAUGGAGCAUAUGAG
rnacentral:lncRNA from 1 species